rnacentral:rRNA from 1 species
CUUUCUCCGCCGGCGACCGGCGCACGGGUGAGUAACACGUAUGCAACCUGCCCCUGUCAGGGGGACAACCCGCCGAAAGCGGGCUAAACCCGCGUACAUGCACCGGGGCAUCCCGGAGGCAGGAAAGGCUUCGGCCGGACAGGGAUGGGCAUGCGGCGCAUUAGGCAGUAGGCGGGGUAACGGCCCACCUAACCGACGAUGCGUAGGGGUUCUGAGAGGAAGGUCCCCCACACUGGUACUGAGACACGGACCAGACUCCUACGGGAGGCAGCAG